CAAGAGAAGGGCAUUAAUAACGUCCUAAUUUGAGGGUACUUGGUAAAGAAGCACCGGCUAACUCCGUGCCAGCAGCUGCGGUAAUACGGAGGGUGCAAGCAUUGAUCGGAAUUACUGGGCGUAAAGGGCGCGUAGACGGCAAGAUAAGUCAGAUGUGAAAUUCCACGGCUCAACCGUGGAGCUGCAUUUGAAACUGUCUAGCUUGAGCAUAAUUAGGGAAAACGGAAUUCCACAUGUAGCGGUGAAAUGCGUAGAUAUGUGGAGGAACACCGGUGGUGAAGACGGUUUUCUGGGUUAUUGCUGACGCUGAGGCGCGAAAGCUAGGGGAGCAAACAGGAUUAGAUACCCUGGUAGUCCUAGCCGUAAACGAUGCAUACUGGAUGUAGGAAGGCUCAACCCUUUCUGUAUCGGAGCUAACGCGUUAAGUAUGCCGCCUGGGGAGUACGCCCGCAAGGGUGAAACUCAAAAGAAUUGACGGGGGCCCGCACAAGCAGUGGAGCAUGUGGUUUAAUUCGAUGCAACGCGAAGAACCUUACCCAGGCUAGAAGUGUAGAGAAAAACAGCAGAAAUGUUGCGUCCCGCAAGGGGCUCUAUAUAGGUGCUGCAUGGCUGUCGUCAGCUCGUGCCGUGAGGUGUUGGGUUAAGUCCCGCAACGAGCGCAACCCUUAUUGUCAGUUGCCAACACGUAAUGGUGGGGACUCU
rnacentral:rRNA from 1 species